UACGAAGGGUGCAAGCGUUAGUCGGAAUUACUGGGCGUAAAGCGUGCGUAGGCGGUUUCUUAAGUCCGUUGUGAAAGCCCUGGGCUCAACCUGGGAACUGCAGUGGAUACUGAGAGGCUAGAGUGUGUCAGAGGAUGAGGGAAUUCCUGGUGUAGCGGUGAAAUGCGUAGAUAUCAGGAGGAACACCGGUGGCGAAAGCGCUCAUCUGGCCCAAUACUGACGCUGAGGCGCGAAAGCUAGGGGAGCAAACGGG
rnacentral:rRNA from 1 species